rnacentral:tRNA from 1 species
GGUGGCUCAGUGGUAUAGCACUUGCCUUGCAUGCAUGAGACCCUGGGUUCGAUUCCUUAGCACCA